UUCUUUGCUGAUAAAAACCUAAGGUUUGGACUCUUAGUGAGCAAAAUACAAGUAUCAUAUUAAUAUGCUUUAGUCGAUUUGCUCUGAUUUGUGGUAAUAUAUAGGCCAUAUUAUUGCAUAGUUGACCUUUACCUUACAGUCAUCAUCUUUCAUCCGUUGAAAGAAAAUGGGAAAAAAUGGAAUUUAACCUAUUAAAUUAAUUUUUCAUUUAAUUUGUCAACAGAGUCCUUCAGCCAAACCAAGGACAGAAUGCACCUGUUCAUAGGCUACUUAGUAGACAAGGGUAAGAAUGCCACACACGGGUAUUGAAAACUACGGAAACCAAGAUUAGAUUUGAGAGGGAAAAAUAAAUCUAGUGUUCUUUAUGUAAAGGAUAAUGGUUUUUCAAUGGGAUUUUUUUUCUUUAUAGCAUUGGGAAAGAUAUUUUAAAGUUUUGUCUUCAAAUGUAACCCUCUUGGUGUACUGUUGUGUAUUCUAAUUACUGUCUUAUGUUGGGAUGUUUUUACUUUUCAUUUCAUACCAUUUUACUCAUAAAGUAUUUUAAAUAUCCAUAUAGUAAAUUCAGCAUCACCGAAGUGAUUCUCCAACAGAGUAUGACUCGUGCUUAUAGUCUCCUGCUGAAGCCAGAGUUUAGCUUUCCUUACUGUGCACAUGCAUGAGACUUCAGUUCUUUUCAAGCUUAUUUGUGCUUUGGACAGUUGAUGCAAUGUGAUUGCUUUCUUUGAAUUUUGAACAUUUAGACCUUAAUGCCAGUGACUUAUUAAUUUUUUUAUAUUCAAUUAGAACCCCUAAGACAUCAGUGAAGGGGGUUGUGCAAAAUAGACAGAAGCCUUCACAGAGCAGAGUGCCUAACAGAGUGCCUGUUUCAGGAGUAUAUGCAGGAAAAAUCCAAAGAAAGCGGCCAAAUGUUGCGACAAUUUAAGAAGACAACAUUCAUUAGGAUAAAAUGGGGGGAAGGAUUAUUAUUCAUGUUAUUUUCCCUGCCCAAGACUUUAUUUAACCCUGGACUCCGUUUACACAGACAAAGUGACAUCGGAAGGCUGAGCACUUAUCUGGAUCAUUUGGUCAGUUUGGUAAUUCCUGCUCCACAUCCCUAUUUUCCUCUUAAUAAUACGUUUGGGUGAAGACAAAUUAGUGUUUAGUAAUUGCAU
rnacentral:sRNA from 1 species